rnacentral:lncRNA from 1 species
GUAAAGAUGUUGUUUGGACCAUGGAGCAGGGCACCCACCAGGGCUGCCAGCUGCUGUGUGAAAGGUGCCUGUCAGGGAUAUGACAAGCAGGCUGAGAUCUGGUUCAGCAACAUCACAGCCAAAGCUGUUGCUGAUGCUAUUAAAACAAGCCUUGGACCAAAAGGAAUGGGAAAAAAGAUUUAAGGUGGAAAAGGCAAUGUGAUCACUACAAAUGAUGGUGCCACCAUUCUGAAACAAAUGCAAGUGUCACAUCCAGCAGCAGAAUGCUGGGGGGGCUAAGAUAUAGAAGCAGGAGAUAGCACUGCAUCAGUUGGCACUAUUGCUGGCUCUCUCAUAGGUUCCUGGGCCAAGCUUCUUCAGAAAGGGAUUCAUCCAACCAUCACUUCCAAGUCAUCCCAGAAGUCUUUGGAAAAGGGUAUUGAGAUCUUAAGUAACAUAUCUCAACCUGUGGAACUGAAUGACAGAGAAACUUUGUUAAACAGUGCCACCAGUUCUUUGAACUCACAGGUUGUCUUUCAGUAUUCAAGUUCUGCUUCCUCCGACGAGUGUAAAUGCAGUGAUGAAAGUGACCCAGCUACAGGUACUACUGUAAAUCUUAGAGAUAUUAACAUACAGUCAUAAACUUGGUGGAAAAAUUGAUGACUGUGAGUUGGUGGAAGGUCUUAUUCUCACCCAGAAAGUGGUAAAUUCUGGCAUAACCCAAUUUGAAAAGGCUAAGAUUGGGCACAUUCAGUUUUGCUUAUCUGCUCCCAACAGAUUUGGAAAUCAAGUAGCAGUUUCUGACAAUGUUCAGAUGGACUAAAUGCUAUGAGAGAGAGAGCCUAUAUUUUAAGUUUAGUAUAGCAAACUUUUACAAAUGGGAUAUAAUGUCCUUCUCAUACAGGACACUUUAGAGACGCUCCUAGUGAUCUUGCAUGACAUUUCCUGAACAAAAUUAUUAUGUUGGUUAAGAAUAUUGAAAAAGAAGAUGUUGAAUUCAUUUGUAAGACAAUUGGAACCAAGCCAGUUGCUCGUACUGACCAAGUCACACUGACAUGCUGGGUUUUGCUGAGUUAGCUGAGAAGGUCAGUUUAAAUGGUUCUGGAAAACUGCUCAAGACUACAGGCUGUACAAGUGCUGGAAAAACAGUUAAAAUUGUCAUAGGACUGAAGAAUUGAGCCUUCCAUUCACGAUGUGCUAUGUAUUAUUUGCUGUUUGGUGAAGAGAGCUCUUACUGCAGGAGGUGGUGCUCCAGUAGAAUUGGCCCUAUGGUUAACUGAAUGUUUGUGAACAUUGAGUGGUAUGGAAUUUUACAGUGUUCAUGUUUUGCAGAUGCUAUGGAGGUCAUUCCAACUACACUAGCUGAAAAUGCUGGCUUUGAAUCCCAUUUCUACAGUAACAGAACUAAGAAAUCAACAUGCCUAACAAGAAAAAAAUUGCAGGCAUUAGUAUCAAAAGGGCAGUAUUUCCAUUUUGGAAAACUGGUUGCCCAACUUUUGUGAUUUCAUUUAUUGCUCUGACCCUAGCAAAUGAAACUGUCCAGAGAAUUCUGAAAAUUGAUGCUGUGGUAAAUGCUCAG